rnacentral:rRNA from 1 species
AAGAAAACCGCAAGGUUUGACGGUACCCGUAGAAGAAGCCCCGGCUAACUCCGUGCCAGCAGCCGCGGUAAUACGGGGGGGGCAAGCGUUGUUCGGAAUUACUGGGCGUAAAGGGCGCGUAGGCGGUCUGCUAAGUUGGAUGUGAAAACUCUGGGCUUAACCCAGAGCCUGCAUUCAAAACUGACAGGCUAGAGUUCUGGAGGGGAUAGCGGAAUUCCUGGUGUAGCGGUGAAAUGCGUAGAUAUCAGGAGGAACACCGGUGGCGAAGGCGGCUAUCUGGACAGAAACUGACGCUGAGGCGCGAAAGCUAGGGGAGCAAACAGGAUUAGAUACCCUGGUAGUCCUAGCCCUAAACGAUGGAUACUUGCUGUAACUGGGAUUGAAUCCAGUUGUGGCGAAGCUAACGC